GCGACCCCAGGUCAGGUGGGAUUACCCGCUGAGUUUA
rnacentral:rRNA from 3 species